UGGGGAAUCUUGGACAAUGGGGGCAACCCUGAUCCAGCCAUGCCGCGUGAGUGAUGAAGGCCCUCGGGUUGUAAAGCACUUUCAAUUGGGAGAAAAAGCUUGUCGUUAAUAGCGGCAAGCCUUGAUGUUACCUUUAGAAGAAGCACCGGCUAACUCCGUGCCAGCAGCCGCGGUAAUACGGAGGGUGCGAGCGUUAAUCGGAAUUACUGGGCGUAAAGCGCGCGUAGGCGGUUGCUUAAGUCGGAUGUGAAAGCCCCGGGCUCAACCUGGGAACUGCAUUCGAUACUGGGCGACUAGAGUACGAGAGAGGGAGGUAGAAUUCCACGUGUAGCGGUGAAAUGCGUAGAUAUGUGGAGGAAUACCGGUGGCGAAGGCGGCCUCCUGGCUCGAUACUGACGCUGAGGUGCGAAAAGCGUGGGGAGCAAAACAGGAUUAGAUACCCUGGUAGUCCACGCCGUAAACGAUGUCUACUAGCCGUUGGGGUACUUGAGACCUUAGUGGCGCAGCUAACGCACUAAGUAGACCGCCUGGGAGUACGGCCGCAAGGUU
rnacentral:rRNA from 1 species